AACAUUCAUUUCUGAAAACAUUCAAAUUCUAUCUGUCAGCAGAAUUAGAAAUAGAGAGCGGCGUUUCCAUCAUCACUAAUAGAUUCUGGAUUGAUCGGGUUUCUAAACAUCCGUGUUCAGUUGACUGACAACGGAGUCCAUCACUUGGCAGAAUGAGACGCUGGUUAGUGACCCGGAGGCCUGUUUUAAAAAGACAUAAUAUUUCAUAAUGUCCAAUCAGUCAUUUUGUCAGGAUAGGUGCCUCAUUUCACAGGGAACGUUUUCUUUCGACCUCCGAGACUAAAACAAGACUGAGAAGUUAAAGUUUAGUCUUUUUUACGGUUCAUUUUUUAUCAACCUGAAAACGCCACGAUGACGCCACAUGCUGCAUAAACAAUCUUAUAAUUUAGGCCCAUGAAUUAUGACAUAUGAAUCACAGGACUGUGUCAGUGUCGGGCAGCAAAAGCACAAACCUGGAUUAUUUUUAAUUUCUUUAAACCAGUGACAUUUGUAUCGGUGCGACGGUGCCUCCGUAAAAUAACAUCGAGGGAAACUUUAUGUGGAACGUUUGUUGUGGUUUGGAAGCCUUGAGUUUAUUACUUUGUUCAGCGCCAUCUUGGAUUUGUGAAACCAGAAGUAACCAUAUUUGGAGCAGCUGAGGGGGUGUGGCCUGACGGACCUGUCCACCUACACCUGCAACCUGCACCUACUGGACAGUAUUAGCUGUCAAUCACACAGUAGAGUCCUUUAUCUCACUGACUUCUACAGUAACUGACUUCUUUUUUUUGCUGCCAGUGUCGCCCCCUCCUGGUCGUGCGAGAGGAUACAGGUUCUGCAGAGGCCUCGCUUCAGAGGUCGAGGUCGAUGAAACAGAACGUCGACGAUUAUUCUUCAUCCACAGCGAUCUCUUCCACCGCAGAGCGACGCUGCAGCUGAGGGUGGAAUGGGUAACAGCACUGCUCUCUGCUCUGCCUCCUCGGGCCCCGCACAGACCCCCGGUACGAGGCACCGGGCUGGGCCGAGGCUGGAGGCCCGCUCGCACACACACACACACACACACACACACACAAGAGAAAAAUUCUCUGAUUUCAGCUUAUUAAAUAUGAAUAUGUUCUGGUUUCUUUGCUCCUCUGUGACAGUGAACUGAACAUCUUUGGUGUGUGAACAAAACAAAACAUCACGUUGAGGUUUGGGGAAACACGAUCCACAUUUUUCAUCGUUUUAUGAACCAAACAACUGAUCGAUUAAUCAAGAAGAUAAUCAACAGAUUAAUCCAUAAUGAAAAUAACUGUUAGUUGCACCUCUAAUCAUAUAUUAUAUAUAAUGAAAAUUAUAUGUAUAUCAGAAAUUAGCCCAAGAUUAGGUCAAAGAAAGUUAUGACAUGUUACAAACUUUCUCUUGGAAACUGAGAAGGUGAAGUGUUGUGUUGAGAGAUUCAUCAAUGAUCAGAAGAGCUGCAGAUUCAAUUAGUGUCGAUUGACUCAUUGAUCAACUCAUCCUGCUGUGACUAAAAUCAAGUUUGAGAUCGAUAUUUUUGGGAAAAAAAACUAAAUUUCUCAUCAGGCUCAAGUUCACAACCUGCAUGAUGACGUGGCAGGAACAACGGGAGUGUGUUGUGUGGGGGGGGCAAUGAGCGUAUAAGUCAAUUCAUAAAGAAAAUAAAUCGAUCGAUAUCUUCAUAAAUGUGUUGAACACAAUGAAAUGUCUUUAAUCUCUGUUGUCAUGAAUCUGCUCCGCGACGCGACGUGUCCGGACGCUGUGAAACUUCCCGGAGGCUCGAGAUGCGACGACAGACGUGGACACGAGCUGAGACCGAGAGAGAAGGAGAAGAAAUGUGAAGCGACAGAGAGACUGAGAGGAAGACAACAAUCAUAAACUCACCGGUCGGACGGUUCGAUCGUCUGCGGCGACGUGUGGAGACGUGGAGGAUGGAAAAGGCCCGGAGCGGGAGGAGGAGGAGGAGGAGGAGGAGAGUGGUCCUGCCUAUCGGAGCACGCAGCGGGUUGCCAGGUUCGCCGUCUAUCCUGCUGCGCCACACGCCGGACAGCGGGGGUGGAGGUGACAGAAGUUCUCAUUCCGUUUACUUCAGUUAAAAUGUGUUUUACUUAAUCAUUUUAUUAUUGUGUUCAGUCAUUUUGCACAAUAUCAUCACUACACACAGUAUCAAGUAGAAACUUUGAGUAUUUCUACUCAUGUACUUUUUCUUAUCACAUCAUUAUAUAGAUUAUGGAUUAUAGAAAAUUAUGAUGUAGAUUGUUUUCAGGUGGUUUCGUAUAUGCAGUAGAUAUAUGUAAGAUGUGGCAGAGUAAAAAAGUACAAUACUUUGCCAUUCUUAGUAAAAUAUAUGUAUCUGUAUGUAUAUGUAUCCACAGCACAGAUUACAAGUAACUCAAACCUGCACUUGAGCAAAUGUACUUAGUUGCUGUUUUUUUUGUUUAUUUCUUUUCUAUUGUCAUAAUAAUAAUGAUGUUGAUGAUGAUGAUGAUGAUGAUGAUGAUAUAUCUGGUAGAAUUGUUUGCAUGGCAUUAUUUCAAAUCAGGCAAAGAACAACAGGCAGACGUCAAGAACUUAUCAUGGAGAAGAAAAUGCCACAAAUAAUAAAUAGGUUCAUGAUUUUUUU
ensembl:lncRNA